rfam:Nicotiana attenuata strain TT chromosome 2, whole genome shotgun sequence.
GUAAAGCGGGACAUCUUAUAAAAUUGAAAUGAUACAAGAGAAGAUAAGUAUGGCAUGCUUAAGGAUGAUAUGCGCAAAUUGAGAAAUAAUUCUAAAUUGC